rnacentral:misc_RNA from 1 species
GCCUCCCCGUCGUCCACGGCCCCGCCCCGCGCCGUGCCGGCAUGUGAGCCGUCGUUACCGCACAGCACCGUCGCGGAGUCACCCGAGCCCCAGUCCGCAGCUCAGCGCAGCCAGCGCAGCCCAGCGCCAUGAAGCUCCUCGAGUGCAUCCUGCUGCAGGUCGCGGCCGUGCUGGUCCUCUGCUGGCUGUGCGACGGCGCCACAGGUGGCUGUUCUCGCUAUGGCCACGCCUGCUGGGGUGGACACGGCAAGCGCAGCUCGCACGACAAGCUGGCCGAGCUGGGCGCCAAGGGCGUCGGCAAGGUGCUGGACAGGGAGGUGGACGCCGACGACGCGGCCGUGGUGGACGCUCAGGAGGCGCCCCAGGACCCCGAGGACGACGCCGAGGUGCCGCAGGCGGAGGUCUUGGAAGCGCCCGACCGCCAGCGACGCCCCUUUCAAGUGGCCCGGAGAUUCGGUCUCAACGCCUUGGCCGAUUACAUUUCCAUCCCCAGGUAUUUCAAGACCCGGAAGCUGCGGAUGAGAGCGAUGAAGAGGUUCACAGAAUCAGGCCACAGAAUCGGCGCAGACACAAGAAUGGGGACAAUGAUCUUCAGGUACUGAUCAUACCAAAUGAGGAAUCUCAGGUACCUGAUCUGCAUAUUUACAAAAUACUUGGCCAUGCACCAAGAAAACGAGUUUAAAUAAAAAUCUUGAAGGAGCCAUCAUUGUUAAAUGUUAAUGAAGAAAAGACUUAAAAGUACAUAAAAAACUUGGUCUUCAUUUUCUCUUAAAUAUAAAUUCAAUUUUGGCCAAAUU